GGGGAGGAGGAAGGGCGUAAGGGACACCCACACCCCACACACAUCCACACACACACACACCCGCGCAGCCACAUAGAGAGGGAGGAAGGAGAGCAGCCCGGUGCGCGCGCGCAGAGAGAGAACCAGAGACAGAGAGGGAGAGGGAGAGAGGAGAGGGAGAGCCAACCACCGCCGAGUCAAGAUUCAGCGAUUCCACCGCAAUCGCCCUAAUGACAACAGCCUCAUAAUAUCUCCCCUAAAUCCACAAAUUCAGCUGCCUCUCUGAGGAGUGCUGGAGGAGCUGCGGGAGCGAAGAAGCUCAAGAGCCCUCUGAACCUGGAAAAGCCCCACAGAUGCCCAUUCCUCACCACACAACAGAAGGAGCUCUGGUCCUGCCUGUCAGCCCCAGAGGGCACUCAAACUUUGGAGGCCAGCCACCCAGAUGAAGUGGAUAACGCCUGAAAAUUGCUUGUUUGCUCGUAUUGUAAAAUAAUAAUAAUUACUAUUAUUAUUCUAAAACUGUCUAAUUUCUCUAGAGAAAGUAACAUCGAAAGCCUAAAACAGACCCCAAAAGGCCCAUAGAACACAGAGGGCCCUCUCUGCCUCUGGCUACCACAGCCCCCAGGCCAGGCGUGGGUAUUUAUUCUUAGGUAUGUUGCUUUUAAGAAGAUGUAAUCAGCAUCUUGAGCCGGCCUCCCUUUGUGAGGCUUCUGUAACUAUGGAAGUGUGAUUUACGCAGAUUUGUCGGGGUCAGAGACGUCUUUCCCUGAGCACUGUGUAUAUUUAGACAGGACUUGGUUUGGUGUUAAAAAGUGUAUAUGUUGAAUGGAUUCACACACAGUAGCCAACAAUGACCACAUUGUCGGCCCGUGUACAACGCGUAUUGAAACGCAGCGCCCAGACUUCAACUAAUCUGCCCUCAAUAAAGCUGAAAUAAUUAUCCUAA